AGUCAGCCUCACACUGAUCACACACAGACAUGAGUGUGCCCACUCAGCUCCUGGCAUUCAUGCUGCUGUGGCUUACAGAUGUCAGAUGUGACAUCCAGAUGACUCAGUCUCCAUCCUCACUAUCUGCAUCUGUGGGGGAAACUGUCACCAUCUCAUGUCGAUCAAGUGAGGACAUAUCCGGUAUUUUACAUUGGUACCAGCAGAAACCAGGGAAAUCUCCUCAGCUCCUGAUCUAUAAUUCAGAUGGUUUGGCAGAUGGUGUGCCAUCCAGGUUCAGUGGCAGUGGAUCUGGCACAGAAUAUUCUCUCAAGAUCAACAGCCUACAGCCUGAAGAUGUUGGAACUUAUUACUGUCAAAGUGUUUAUGGUACAUCUCCCACAGUGAUUCAAGCCAUGACAUAA